AUCGUACGAUUUCUCCGUUAGUCGUGGAAGCUAUGUGUAAGCUUUGCUUAGCAUCGUAUGAUUUCCCCGUUGGUUGUGGAAGGUAAAGUUCCGAUCGCAAGGGCUAAUGCUAGUGAUAAAACUUCUAGAUGGAUCAUUGCUUUAGUGAAGCUGUACGAACUCGGAGGUAUUUUUCUAUGCAAAUAUAUAUAUAUAUCCAGUGAAUUUGAAAACGUUGUGCAAUCAAACACGUGCCAAUUAAAUUGAAGUUUUGGUGGAUUGUAUUAUUCGGUUUGGUUUAAAGAAGACAAGAGGACUGGGAAUCUUACUACGUUCGACAUCGGGAAAGAGAAAAAGUACCAACUGACCCCUCCAAUAACGAAGUCGUCAAAGUCCAUCGAUUUCUUGGUAGAUCUGGGAAAGGCCUCGGAUUUCCCAGGAACCAGCAUCUACAUAAACCCACGAUAACUACAACCAAAUAAACUAGCAAAAGCCGUCCGAAGAUAUA